UUAAGUUCAGCGGGUAUCCCUACCUGAUCCGAGGUCAACCUUAAGAAAUUUUCCCGUUAAAAGGGAGAAGACCGUGGGCCCGCGAACCGCUUAAACCGAUACGUGCUCAAUGAAGAAGCUCAGUGUACCGGGGGUUCAACAGGCCGCCGUCGUUAACUUUAGGAGGGGUUCUGGGUGACCAAAACCAAGCCGUCCAACAC
rnacentral:misc_RNA from 1 species